rnacentral:rRNA from 1 species
AUUGAACGCUGGCGGCAGGCCUAACACAUGCAAGUCGAGCGAGCGGCGGACGGGUGAGUAAUGUAUGGGGACUGCCCGAUAGAGGGGGAUAACUACUGGAAACGGUAGCUAAUACCGCAUACUAUCGGAUAACCCAUAUGGGAGUAGCUAGUGGGUGAGGUAAUGGCUCACCAAGGCGACAGGCCCUAGCUGGUCGGGGAGGAUGAUCAGCCACACUGGGACUGAGAUACGGCCCAGACUCCUACGGAGGCAGCAGUGGGGAAUAUUGCACAAUGGGCGCAAGCCUGAUGCAGCCAUGCCGGGUGUAUGAAGAAGGCCCUAGGGUUGUAAAGUACGUUCAGUCGGGAGGCGUUACCGACAGAAGAAGCACCGGCUAACGCCGUGCCAGCAGCCGCGGUAAUAC